GAAAUGCGAUAAGUAGUGUGAAUUGCAGAAUUCAGUGAAUCAUCGAAUCUUUGAACGCACAUUGCGCCCCUUGGUAUUCCAUAGGGCAUGCCUGUUCGAGCGUUAUUUGUACCCUUAAGCUCUGCUUGGUGUUAGGUGUUUGUCCCGUUUCUGCGCGUAGACUCGCCUUGAAGUGAUUAGCAGCCGGCAUAUUGGCCUUGGAGCGCAGCACAUUUUGCGCCUCAUGCCUUGAAUGCGGGCGUCCAACAAGCCUGUAUAUUUGCUCUUAACCUCGGAUUAGGUAGGGAUACCCGCUAAACUUAA
rnacentral:misc_RNA from 1 species